CCACUCCAGUUUCUUGCCUGAAAAAUUCCUGGACAAGAGGAACCUGUUGGGCUACAGUCCCAUGGAGUCACAAAGAGUUAGAGACAACUGAGCAACUGAGCACGUAUCCAACAUGCUCAGAAAUGAGGCCAGACAGAAGAGUACGCAAUAUAUGACUGAUUCCGUUUGUAUAAAACUCCAGAAAAUGGAAGUAAAACACAGAUGAGUGAUUCCCUGAGGCUGAGGAAGAACAGGAGGGAGAGAUUACAAAGGAGAAAUGAAGUUUUGGGGGAUGAAGGAUAUGUUCACUAUCUUGAUUGUGGUGAUGGUUCCAUGGAGUUUACAUAUAUCACAAUUUAUCAAAUUGUGCAUUUUAAACAUGUACAGCUCAGUAUAUGUCAACAUUACCUUAAUAAAAUUGUUUUUAAAAAAGAAGCAACUCCAUUCCUGGGCAUAUACCCAGAGAAACCUUAAUUCCAAAAAUUUAUGCACCCUAGUGUUCACGGCAGCACUGUUUGCAAUAGCCAGAACCUGGAAGGAACCUAAAUGUCCAUCAACAGAGGAGUGGAUAAAGAAGAUGUGGCACAUAUGUACAGUGGAAUAUCACUCAGCCAUAAGGAGGAACAGAAUUAUGCCAUUUGGAGAGACAUGGAUGGACCUAGAGACUGUCAUACAGAGUGAAAAACUCCAUGCCUGUGGCUGCCUCCUCCCUCUUCAUAUCCCGUUGUAUUGGCUGUGGUGACACCCCCAGUGCAGACUCAUUUAUAGUCUGGGCACCGCAACCUCGAGCUGCUGGAACACCCCGCGGAGAAGCAAUUAUGCCAUCAGAGGCCUCUUAUUGUCCUCAUCUCGCCACUAAUUUCUGCAUGAUUUCGAUCUGCAUUUGCCACCACCUAUUAUUUGCCUGGUGCUGACACCAGAGGUGCCAUGAUCAGAGAGGGCCUGGCUGUCUAUCUUUUUCUCUCCUGCAGUGUCAGCUGGGUAUUCUGACAUUUGAAAAGAGAAAGAAUGGAGGUGACUGUAAUCUAGUUCUUGGCACGCCCUUAACAGAGCAUGUGGCGCUGGAUGAGAAAUCGCAGGUCCCAGGCUUGUCUUCUGACAUCUCCUCCCCUCUGCUUCAUAAAUAGCCACCUCCUCUGGGCUUACAAAUUAUGUUGCAACUGCUUGGGGGCCCUGUUUUGACCUCUUAUUUGCAUCACCACAUAAAGUCAUGUUGCGAUGAGCUCCACUUGUUAGUGCCGUGUGUUGGGAAUGAGACACAUUGGAAGCAGAAUCAAACAGCAGGUGAGUCAAAGCACAAUGCACCAUACCUUCGAGGAUCAUAAAAUGGGCAUUGCAGUACAAAAGGUGGCCAACCUGAGGAUGCCAAGCUGAGUAAGAGGACACACUCCAUGGGUCCUGUGAGUUGGAGGCCAAGGCUGGAGGCAAGACCCAGUCACACAGAAGGCUUGAGGGCAAACAGGGAAAUCAAAGUGCAGACCAGUCAGAGAGGGAAGAUGAGCAUAGGUCCCCUGUAAGCUGAGAGCUGUGACAUUCUAACACAGUCUUCACCAUAUAGCCCUCUCCAUAGACAGAGUGCUGCCCACUGACAGAGGAUGAUGUUGAAAGCUGCCUGACGCCUGUAUUACAGUAGCAGGGCUGGUAUGAGCCCUUCCUUUGGCACAAACAUAGAAAUAAGCUUCAGGCAAAUUGAAAGGCCUGCAGAUUAGCUGGAUGGCCUUCCUUGUAAAUGUAAGCCCUGGACCUGAAGUGACUUUGUUUCCUAUGUGUCCACUGUAAGACUUCCCACCCCUACCCCUAAAUACACAUACAUACAUAGUAUGUGUGUGAAUGUAUGCACAUGUGUGUACAUACAUGUGUAUAUGUAUGUGUAUGUACUAUAUAGUUUAUAUACAUGAGUAAUGAACAUGAAAUAUUAUAUAUAUGAUGUAUGUGUCCAUCCAUACAUAUACACACUCAAACUGAAUUUUUCAAGACUCUUGUACCCUUGCCAAAGAUCCAUUGAUUUCCUCCUUCCUCAGGCUAGCACCCCUCCCUGCGCCCCACCACAUUAGCCCCAUUAGCUGCUAUUUCUCGGUCAUGGCUCCAUGCUGUGCCUUGGGCAGCACCAUAGGCUUCAAACCUUUUCAAAUGCUUUCAGCGCCUCAGAAGUGACUUGCUCAGUGUCCCAUUUCCUAAGAACCUUUUUGGUGGGAUGGGUUCUAAUCUAAGAAGCUGGCUCCAUUAGCUGGUUGUUAAUGACAGUGUGUUAUACUGUUUGGAGAGCAUAUUUCCAUAUUAACUUGUCCUGAGUUUUAUCGCAAAUGGUCUGCUGCCUGGGCCUGGAUGUGAGCCAGGUAAGUGGUGCUUCGAUGCAAAAUUCAAGGAGGUGUUCACAGGACACUGAGAGUGAGCACCCUGGAUUUAUCACCUGAGGAGCUUCUCUUGCCUCCCCUGAGUUCAGGCCCUGACUGCCAGGUGAUAGAAAGGUAAAGCUUUGUGAUGAGCAAGAAGAGAGAAACUCCUUGUCUCCAAAAUCACAUCCCAUAGCUAUCUGCUUGCUCUAAGUAUUAACUUGGGGACACCUCAGUCUUAAAUUCAUUUGCUAAGUCAAAAUGUAAAAUAUCAUAUAUGUUAAUUUGUCAAGAUAUUUCCUUUAAAAAAAAUUCUAUUUAUUUAUUUUUGGCUGCUCUGGGUCUUUGG